rnacentral:rRNA from 1 species
GCUCAGAACGAACGCUGGCGGCAGGCCUAACACAUGCAAGUCGAGCGCGCCUUUCGGGGUGAGCGGCGGACGGGUUAGUAACGCGUGGGAAUAUACCCUUUGGUACGGAAUAGCCUCUGGAAACGGAGAGUAAUACCGUAUGAGCCCUUCGGGGGAAAGAUUUAUCGCCAAGGGAUUAGCCCGCGUUAGAUUAGGUAGUUGGUGGGGUAAUGGCCUACCAAGCCUACGAUCUAUAGCUGGUUUUAGAGGAUGAUCAGCAACACUGGGACUGAGACACGGCCCAGACUCCUACGGGAGGCAGCAGUGGGGAAUCUUGGACAAUGGGGGCAACCCUGAUCCAGCCAUGCCGCGUGAGUGAUGAAGGCCUUAGGGUCGUAAAGCUCUUUCGCCUGUGAAGAU